GAACCUUACCAGGCCUUGACAUGCAGAGAACUUUCCAGAGAUGGAUUGGUGCCUUCGGGAACUCUGACACAGGUGCUGCAUGGCUGUCGUCAGCUCGUGUCGUGAGAUGCUGGGUUAAGUCCCGUAACGAGCACAACCCUUGUCCUUAGUUACCAGCACGUUAUGGUGGGCACUCUAAGGAGACUGCCGGUGACAAACCGGAGGAAGGUGGGGAUGACGUCAAGUCAUCAUGGCCCUUACGGCCUGGGCUACACACGUGCUACAAUGGUCGGGUACAAAGGGUUGCCAAGCCGCGAGGUGGAGCUAAUCCCAUAAAACCGAUCGUAGUCCGGAUCGCAGUCUGCAACUCGACUGCGUGAAGUCGGAAUCGCUAGUAAUCGUGAAUCAGAAUGUCACGGUGAAUACGUUCCCGGGCCUU
rnacentral:rRNA from 1 species